rnacentral:rRNA from 1 species
GAGUUUGAUCGUGGCUCAGGACGAACGCUGGCGGCGUGCCUAACACAUGCAAGUCGAACGGAGAAUUUUAUUUCGGUAGAAUUCUUAGUGGCGAACGGGUGAGUAACGCGUAGGCAACCUGCCCUUUAGACGGGGACAACAUUCCGAAAGGAGUGCUAAUACCGGAUGUGAUCAUCUUGCCGCAUGGCAGGAUGAAGAAAGAUGGCCUCUACAAGUAAGCUAUCGCUAAAGGAUGGGCCUGCGUCUGAUUAGCUAGUUGGUAGUGUAACGGACUACCAAGGCGAUGAUCAGUAGCCGGUCUGAGAGGAUGAACGGCCACAUUGGGACUGAGACACGGCCCAAACUCCUACGGGAGGCAGCAGUGGGGAAUCUUCCGCAAUGGACGAAAGUCUGACGGAGCAACGCCGCGUGAGUGAUGAAGG